UUAAGCGACUAAGCGUACACGGUGGAUGCCCUGGCAGUCAGAGGCGAUGAAGGACGUGCUAAUCUGCGAUAAGCGUCGGUAAGGUGAUAUGAACCGUUAUAACCGGCGAUUUCCGAAUGGGGAAACCCAGUGUGAUUCGUCACACUAUCAUUAACUGAAUCCAUAGGUUAAUGAGGCGAACCGGGGGAACUGAAACAUCUAAGUACCCCGAGGAAAAGAAAUCAACCGAGAUUCCCCCAGUAGCGGCGAGCGAACGGGGAGCAGCCCAGAGCCUGAAUCAGUGUGUGUGUUAGUGGAAGCGUCUGGAAAGGCGUGCGAUACAGGGUGACAGCCCCGUACACAAAAAUGCACAUACUGUGAGCUCGAUGAGUAGGGCGGGACACGUGGUAUCCUGUCUGAAUAUGGGGGGACCAUCCUCCAAGGCUAAAUACUCCUGACUGACCGAUAGUGAACCAGUACCGUGAGGGAAAGGCGAAAAGAACCCCGGCGAGGGGAGUGAAAAAGAACCUGAAACCGUGUACGUACAAGCAGUGGGAGCACGCUUAGGCGUGUGACUGCGUACCUUUUGUAUAAUGGGUCAGCGACUUAUAUUCUGUAGCAAGGUUAACCGAAUAGGGGAGCCGAAGGGAAACCGAGUCUUAACUGGGCGUUAAGUUGCAGGGUAUAGACCCGAAACCCGGUGAUCUAGCCAUGGGCAGGUUGAAGGUUGGGUAACACUAACUGGAGGACCGAACCGACUAAUGUUGAAAAAUUAGCGGAUGACUUGUGGCUGGGGGUGAAAGGCCAAUCAAACCGGGAGAUAGCUGGUUCUCCCCGAAAGCUAUUUAGGUAGCGCCUCGUGAAUUCAUCUCCGGGGGUAGAGCACUGUUUCGGCAAGGGGGUCAUCCCGACUUACCAACCCGAUGCAAACUGCGAAUACCGGAGAAUGUUAUCACGGGAGACACACGGCGGGUGCUAACGUCCGUCGUGAAGAGGGAAACAACCCNGACCGCCAGCUAAGGUCCCAAAGUCAUGGUUAAGUGGGAAACGAUGUGGGAAGGCCCAGACAGCCAGGAUGUUGGCUUAGAAGCAGCCAUCAUUUAAAGAAAGCGUAAUAGCUCACUGGUCGAGUCGGCCUGCGCGGAAGAUGUAACGGGGCUAAACCAUGCACCGAAGCUGCGGCAGCGACGCUUAUGCGUUGUUGGGUAGGGGAGCGUUCUGUAAGCCUGUGAAGGUGUGCUGUGAGGUAUGCUGGAGGUAUCAGAAGUGCGAAUGCUGACAUAAGUAACGAUAAAGCGGGUGAAAAGCCCGCUCGCCGGAAGACCAAGGGUUCCUGUCCAACGUUAAUCGGGGCAGGGUGAGUCGACCCCUAAGGCGAGGCCGAAAGGCGUAGUCGAUGGGAAACAGGUUAAUAUUCCUGUACUUGGUGUUACUGCGAAGGGGGGACGGAGAAGGCUAUGUUGGCCGGGCGACGGUUGUCCCGGUUUAAGCGUGUAGGCUGGUUUUCCAGGCAAAUCCGGAAAAUCAAGGCCGAGGCGUGAUGACGAGGCACUACGGUGCUGAAGCAACAAAUGCCCUGCUUCCAGGAAAAGCCUCUAAGCAUCAGGUAACAUCAAAUCGUACCCCAAACCGACACAGGUGGUCAGGUAGAGAAUACCAAGGCGCUUGAGAGAACUCGGGUGAAGGAACUAGGCAAAAUGGUGCCGUAACUUCGGGAGAAGGCACGCUGAUACGUAGGUGAAGCGACUUGCUCGUGGAGCUGAAAUCAGUCGAAGAUACCAGCUGGCUGCAACUGUUUAUUAAAAACACAGCACUGUGCAAACACGAAAGUGGACGUAUACGGUGUGACGCCUGCCCGGUGCCGGAAGGUUAAUUGAUGGGGUUAGCGCAAGCGAAGCUCUUGAUCGAAGCCCCGGUAAACGGCGGCCGUAACUAUAACGGUCCUAAGGUAGCGAAAUUCCUUGUCGGGUAAGUUCCGACCUGCACGAAUGGCGUAAUGAUGGCCAGGCUGUCUCCACCCGAGACUCAGUGAAAUUGAACUCGCUGUGAAGAUGCAGUGUACCCGCGGCAAGACGGAAAGACCCCGUGAACCUUUACUAUAGCUUGACACUGAACAUUGAGCCUUGAUGUGUAGGAUAGGUGGGAGGCUUUGAAGUGUGGACGCCAGUCUGCAUGGAGCCGACCUUGAAAUACCACCCUUUAAUGUUUGAUGUUCUAACGUGGACCCGUGAUCCGGGUUGCGGACAGUGUCUGGUGGGUAGUUUGACUGGGGCGGUCUCCUCCUAAAGAGUAACGGAGGAGCACGAAGGUUGGCUAAUCCUGGUCGGACAUCAGGAGGUUAGUGCAAUGGCAUAAGCCAGCUUGACUGCGAGCGUGACGGCGCGAGCAGGUGCGAAAGCAGGUCAUAGUGAUCCGGUGGUUCUGAAUGGAAGGGCCAUCGCUCAACGGAUAAAAGGUACUCCGGGGAUAACAGGCUGAUACCGCCCAAGAGUUCAUAUCGACGGCGGUGUUUGGCACCUCGAUGUCGGCUCAUCACAUCCUGGGGCUGAAGUAGGUCCCAAGGGUAUGGCUGUUCGCCAUUUAAAGUGGUACGCGAGCUGGGUUUAGAACGUCGUGAGACAGUUCGGUCCCUAUCUGCCGUGGGCGCUGGAGAACUGAGGGGGGCUGCUCCUAGUACGAGAGGACCGGAGUGGACGCAUCACUGGUGUUCGGGUUGUCAUGCCAAUGGCACUGCCCGGUAGCUAAAUGCGGAAGAGAUAAGUGCUGAAAGCAUCUAAGCACGAAACUUGCCCCGAGAUGAGUUCUCCCUGACCCUUUAAGGGUCCUGAAGGAACGUUGAAGACGACGACGUUGAUAGGCCGGGUGUGUAAGCGCAGCGAUGCGUUGAGCUAACCGGUACUAAUGAACCGUGAGGCUUAACCUU
rnacentral:rRNA from 1 species